UUCAUUUCCUUCCGAAUUCAUCUUUUGUGAAAUUCUCCCGCUUUCAAAUUAGGGAAAUUUCGUUUCCCCCAUAAUUCAUUUUGUUUCCCUCCGAAUUCAUUUUUUGUGAAAUUCUCCCGCUUCCAAUAAGUUCAACGAUUCCUCUUCGUUGUUUAUUAAAAACCGUCAAGUUACACGAUUCCUCUUCUUUGUUCACCUUCAUUUGUGAUUAGGGUUUUUCACCAUUCUAUUAUACUCUUUCUGCGAUUAAACUGCUUCUCCGAUUCACUUGGGUGCGCGAUUCACCAUGGAGUGUUCACCUUGCUUGGAGAAGAUUUGACACCUGCAAGAGAUGGUACUCAUUCCACCAUUGAAUUAGUUGUUGAUCCCAAGUUUAAUCAUGGAGUACUUUAUGACCAGAUUCAAAUUUCCUUCCAUCUGCAGUUAAUGUUUUAUGAAACCGGUUUGAAAAAAUGAUGUAGAGGGAUUGCACUGAGAUGCCACAAGUUUUGUGAAAAUGGUGUAACAUUGAGUGAACUGAAAAUUUUCAUCCAUGAAUUUCAUUCCAACACCAAUGCUUCCACCUUGAGGUUCACAUCAAUACUGAUGAAGAAGGAUGAGUGAAGACUGAUUAUUGAUGUUUGAAGACCUUUUUUGUGAUUCUAUUAUGUUAAGUUUGUAUUAGUUAUUGUGUGCCAACCUUUGGUUUUGGUGUCAACUAAACUAUUAAGUCACUGCUUUUUAAAUUUCAAGACAUGUUAAGAUAUUGAUGUAAUUGAAUGCCUCCAUUUGACGAAUGCUACCUUUUAAAUUUGCCUUUGGUU